CUCACAUACUUCUUCAGAAACCAACCUCCUUUUGCAACUGCACGUGUCGUCCCCUGCUGGAAUUCAGAUAGAAUGCAGGUUUAAGGCUCUUCCACAUUUGCAGCACUUCACCAAACCGGAUGCUUCGUCCAUUGAUAUUAACAGUCUAUGUGUGUGAUUUGAGAAUCUGC